CAGCNUCCUGGGAUAACACUGACGUUCAUGCCCGGAAGCGUGGGUAGCAANCAGGAUUAGAUACCCUGGUAGUCCACGCCCUAAACGAUGUCGAUUAGCUGUUGGGCAGCAUGACUGCUUAGUAGCGAAGCUAACGCGUGAAAUCGACCGCCUGGGGAGUACGGUCGCAAGAUUAAAACUCAAAGGAAUUGACGGGGACCCGCACAAGCGGUGGAUGAUGUGGAUUAAUUCGAUGCAACGCGAAGAACCUUACCUGGUCUUGACAUGUACGGAACCCUCCAGAGACGGAGGGGUGCCUUCGGGAGCCGUAACACAGGUGCUGCAUGGCUGUCGUCAGCUCGUGUCGUGAGAUGUUGGGUUAAGUCCCGCAACGAGCGCAACCCUUGUCAUUAGUUGCCAUCAUUAAGUUGGGCACUCUAAUGAGACUGCCGGUGACAAGCCGGAGGAAGGUGGGGAUGACGUCAAGUCCUCAUGGCCCUUAUGACCAGGGCUUCACACGUCAUACAAUGGUCGGUACAGAGGGUAGCCGAGCCGCGAGGUGGAGCCAAUCUCACAAAACCGAUCGUAGUCCGGAUUGCACUCUGCAACUCGAGUGCAUGAAGUCGGAAUCGCUAGUAAUCGCAGGUCAGCAUACUGCGGUGAAUACGUUCCCGGGUCUUGUACACACCGCC
rnacentral:rRNA from 1 species